GUGGGGAAUAUUGCACAAUGGGCGGAAGCCUGAUGCAGCGACGCCGCGUGAGGGAUGACGGCCUUCGGGUUGUAAACCGCUUUCGCCUGUGACGAAGCGUGAGUGACGGUAAUGGGUAAAGAAGCACCGGCUAACUACGUGCCAGCAGCCGCGGUGAUACGUAGGGUGCGAGCGUUGUCCGGAUUUAUUGGGCGUAAAGGGCUCGUAGGUGGUUGAUCGCGUCGGAAGUGUAAUCUUGGGGCUUAACCCUGAGCGUGCUUUCGAUACGGGUUGACUUGAGGAAGGUAGGGGAGAAUGGAAUUCCUGGUGGAGCGGUGGAAUGCGCAGAUAUCAGGAGGAACACCAGUGGCGAAGGCGGUUCUCUGGGCCUUUCCUGACGCUGAGGAGCGAAAGCGUGGGGAGCGAACAGGCUUAGAUACCCUGGUAGUCCACGCUGUAAACGGUGGGUACUAGGUGUGGGGUCCAUUCCACGGGUUCCGUGCCGUAGCUAACGCUUUAAGUACCCCGCCUGGGGAGUACGGCCGCAAG
rnacentral:rRNA from 1 species